GUGUCUUUGGUGUAGUGGUAACACAUGUUCUGGAACUAUAUAUAGUUCCACUCCUUAGUAAAAUACUGGAACAUGUCCAGGGUUCAAAUCCCUGAAGGCACA